AACGAACGCUGGCGGCAGGCUUAACACAUGCAAGUCGAGCGCCCCGCAAGGGGAGCGGCAGACGGGUGAGUAACGCGUGGGAACGUACCCUUUGCUACGGAAUAGCUCCGGGAAACUGGAAUUAAUACCGUAUGUGCCCUACGGGGGAAAGAUUUAUCGGCAAAGGAUCGGCCCGCGUUGGAUUAGCUAGUUGGUGGGGUAAUGGCCUACCAAGGCGACGAUCCAUAGCUGGUCUGAGGGGAUGAUCAGCCACAUUGGGACUGAGACACGGCCCAAACUCCUACGGGAGGCAGCAGUGGGGAAUAUUGGACAAUGGGCGCAAGCCUGAUCCAGCCAUGCCGCGUGAGUGAUGAGGGCCUUAGGGUUGUAAAGCUCUUUCACCGGAGAAGAUAAUGACGGUAUCCGGAGAAGAAGCCCCGGCUAACUUCGUGCCAGCAGCCGCCGUAACAC
rnacentral:rRNA from 1 species